UACGUAGGGUGCAAGCGUUGUCCGGAAUUAUUGGGCGUAAAGAGCUCGUAGGCGGUCUGUUGCGUCGGCUGUGAAAACCCGGGGCUCAACCCCGGGCCUGCAGCCGAUACGGGCAGACUAGAGUUCGGCAGGGGAGACUGGAAUUCCUGGUGUAGCGGUGAAAUGCGCAGAUAUCAGGAGGAACACCGGUAGCGAAGGCGGGUCUCUGGGCCGAUACUGACGCUGAGGAGCGAAAGCGUGGGGAGCGAACAGG
rnacentral:rRNA from 1 species